rnacentral:lncRNA from 1 species
CAAUGGAAAUCGCGACAAGACGUUGACCAGUGCUAUCUCUGGAAGAUCCAUUUUUCGUUUACGCGGCCUCCCCCUCCCUCUUUGAUUUCUUCGAUUAGGUAAGGUAUUAGUAACAAUCUAAUCAAGAUUGCGGCUCAGCAAUUUAGAGCAGUAGUACCAAAUUUUUUUUCUUUCUCAACUUCUGCAUUUUAUUAAAUCUUUAACCUUUGGCCCACUAGAUCUUACGAGAGAUAUCAGUUUUACAAAACGGCCUCCCCCUCCCUCUUUGAUUUCUUCGAUUAGGUAAGGUAUUAGUAACAAUCUAAUCAAGAUUGCGGCUCAGCAAUUUAGAGCAGUAGUACCAAAUUUUUUUUCUUUCUCAACUUCUGCAUUUUAUUAAAUCUUUAACCUUUGGCCCACUAGAUCUUACGAGAGAUAUCAGUUUUACAAAAGAGGCCCAAUAAAACAAAAUUUAAAUAAGUCCAAAAGAGGAGAUAACCACAUGUUAACACGUGUUUGUUCCAAGAGAUUUCAAUUCUGCAUACUCACUUCUACGCAUUUUUCAUGCGAAAAUUCACUCUCUGGUCUUCUGCUGUUACUCCUCCAAUCUCCGUCACUCUUCACCGCAUGAGAGAAAAGCCUUUUGUACCAAUUCUCUUGCAGUCUUCUUUCUCUAACAGCUGCUGAAUCUAUCGGAGUUCCAAACCAAAUCAUCGGAGAUGAUAGCACAACAAAGACUUGUGAAGAUUAAGAGCAUAUCCUUUGUUCGAACACUUUCACAAGGAAAGUUCCAUCUCUACUGAACCUGCACACAAUCGGCCGAGCUAUCUGGAAAAUUUUAAUUCAACUAUUCAUCAAGAAUACUUUGCGUAAAUCCUUAAUGGAAGAAAUGAUUGACUCCAAUCUGACCAAGAAUCAACGAUAGCCAACAACAGGAAGGAAUCGUCGGACUCAAUCAGAAUAGGUAAGAAAUUUAAAAAGAAAGAGGGCAACAUAGACUCUGAUUAGAAGAAUCAGAGCUAUUAUUGUUCAAUCCAAUCCGGAGAAAACAAAGAGCUAUGAGGAACAAGCCAGGCUAGAUUGAAAUCACUACCAAAAAUCGCUUUACGGAUGUAUAAUCCGACUAGCGAAACAAAAGAUCGAUCAUAUUGAUCGAAACAAACUAAUUUACAUAGAAAGACCCAUAAUAAGAGGGGACGAAGAGAGAAAGCAUCUCUCUCUCUCUAAACAAGAGAGAGAAGGGCCUCUUUUAGUAGUACCAAAUUACAUUUG